AUUGAACGCUGGCGGCAGGCCUAACACAUGCAAGUCGAACGGUAACAGGAAGAAGCUUGCUUCUUUGCUGACGAGUGGCGGACGGGUGAGUAAUGUCUGGGAAACUGCCUGAUGGAGGGGGAUAACUACUGGAAACGGUAGCUAAUACCGCAUAACGUCGCAAGACCAAAGAGGGGGACCUUCGGGCCUCUUGCCAUCGGAUGUGCCCAGAUGGGAUUAGCUAGUAGGUGGGGUAACGGCUCACCUAGGCGACGAUCCCUAGCUGGUCUGAGAGGAUGACCAGCCACACUGGAACUGAGACACGGUCCAGACUCCUACGGGAGGCAGCAGUGGGGAAUAUUGCACAAUGGGCGCAAGCCUGAUGCAGCCAUGCCGCGUGUAUGAAGAAGGCCUUCGGGCUGUAAAGUACUUUCAGCGGGGAGGAAGGGAGUAAAGUUAAUACCUUUGCUCAUUGACGUUACCCGCAGAAGAAGCACCGGCUAACCCCGUG
rnacentral:rRNA from 1 species